rnacentral:rRNA from 1 species
GAUGAACGCUGGCGGCGUGCCUAAUACAUGCAAGUCGAGCGAACGGACGAGAAGCUUGCUUCUCUGAUGUUAGCGGCGGACGGGUGAGUAACACGUGGAUAACCUACCUAUAAGACUGGGAUAACUUCGGGAAACCGGAGCUAAUACCGGAUAAUAUUUUGAACCGCAUGGUUCAAAAGUGAAAGACGGUCUUGCUGUCACUUAUAGAUGGAUCCGCGCUGCAUUAGCUAGUUGGUAAGGUAACGGCUUACCAAGGCAACGAUGCAUAGCCGACCUGAGAGGGUGAUCGGCCACACUGGAACUGAGGCACGGUCCAGACUCCUGCGGGAGGCAGCAGUAGGGAAUCUUCCGCAAAGGGCGAAAGCCUGACAGAGCAACGCCGCGUGAGUGAUGAAGGUCUUCGGAUGGUAAAGCUCUGUUAUUAGGAGAGAACAUAUGUGUAAGUAACUGUGAACAUCUUGACGGUACCUAAUCAGAAAGCCACGGCUAACUACGUG